GAGGGUCUAGCUCAGCAGUAGAAUAUGUGCCUACCAUGCACAAGGUCCUGGGUUCAAUUCCCAGUACCUCUG
rnacentral:tRNA from 1 species